UUUUCUGUAUCUUACAGCAAAAUACAUCCCACCUGUUAGAAAAAGUGUGAAGAAUUCCAGCCAAAAUGGUGUUUAAAAAAGAAAAUUAGCGAGCAUUUGUGAGAACUUUCAUUUCACUAAUAUUUGAAUGAUACUUCAAAGAUACCGUAAUAUUAAUUGAGCAAUUACUGUGUAUUUUUGUUUUUAGGCUUGGGGGAUACAACAAUAAAUGAUUAGCCAAAAGAGCUUGUAUUCUAGCAGGAGAGACAGAUAUUAAGCAGCCAAUUGCAUGUUUAUAUUACAAAAUUAUGGUUAUAAUUAAAACUAGUAAGAAGGAAAAAAGUCAGGACUUAGGGUAUGUAGUAAUUAUAUAAAUAAUAAAAUAUUACAAAAUAUAUAGCUAAAUAACUGAAUGAAAUUACAAAAACAAACAAGUAUAGAAAUAUAUAAAAUGUAUAGUUUAUACAGACAUUCCCUGAGGUCAAGAGAAACUGUAAAGUGGAGUCGUUUAGUCCAGGAUAAUUGUCUGAAGGAAGUUAAUAUUGUACCAGGUUUUGAAGGAAGUGCCCAAAGGACAGGCUAGACUGGGCAGAAAGAGAGCACUCUAAAUAUAAGGAACCGGAAGAGCAAAGGAAGAAAGCAGGAAUGAAGUACGAGUGAACUAAAAGAAAUACCAGAAUCACUUGAUUUUUAAAUUCCCUGUAGGAACAGCAUUCUAGGGGCAUCUCUCAGAGAAAAAGACAGAAAGAUACCAGAAGUCUCAAAGCAAGAUUAUUUAAAGGCAUAAAAAUAAUAUAGGAGAAAAACACAGAAGAAAAAGUAGGAGUACAAGAGUGCAUUUGAAAUGAAGACGUCAUUCAAAAUAAUGAAUAAUUUAUAAUGUGGGUGUCAAAAGAAUUGUCAUAAAAAGUAAUUAUGGAUUUAAGGGCAUCAAGAAGGAGGGACUCAAACUUUCACAAAUAGAAAUGGAAAUAAAGAUGAGGAGUGGCAAAAAAAUGAAGACAGUUUUGGCAUUUAAAAAGCAUCAGAUUACAUUGUGAAUGAAUCCAUAUUGAAAGGUUAUUUAAGUCAGUAAGCACCAGUCUGCCAAUCACGUAAGAUAUGACGUCGCCUCUAUCAGUCUUCUUAAAGGAAAGUAGGUUGAACAUCGAUCCAGGAUGCCAGGACUCACGUCCUAAAAGUCAGGCUCUCUCUGUUCUUCUGCCUUGACUACUGAGAGAAAGGAGUAGGGGAAAUCAAGUGUAAAGUUGAAAAAGGCUGAAUCUUGGACUGUUAUCCAGUUGUCAUCUUGGACCACAAAUGAUCACAUGAUAUUUUGAAGUUCCUUUUGGUGAUUUCCUGGUACAAUGGAAAUAAGAAAAUCUCAUGAUAUAGUUCUUGUCUGUGAUGAGACACACAGGUGAGACUGAAGGGAAGUUGGAAGAUCAUCUUUGACACUGUCACAGCACCCCAAGAGAGAGGGACUCAAGACUGGGACUCAGGCCAUCACAGUGGAAAUGGAGAAGAGAAGAUAGACUUGAGAAUUGCCAAAUGGAUAGAAUAGGCAGAAUGGGUAGAAUAUUGUCGAUUGGAUAUAGCUACUGAGAGGAAGGGUGCAUUUGCAGGUUUCUGGCUUUGGUGACUGAGAAGAUAGAUGAAAGUGUCACUCAAAGGGAAGGGAAAUGUAAGAGAUGUUACUCUGCCAAAGAAUUGAAUGAAUAUACGCCAAGGAUCUGAAUGAAUUUCUUAAGUGUAUACCCAUAGAAAAUGAAGAUAAGAGGGCCAAGGUCAGAAGCUUAGAGGCCAUGAUAAUUUGUGUUGUGAACAGAGAAAGAAGAUAGCACCAAAAAAUGAGAAGAAAGGCCAUGAGAAUGAGACAGAGAAUCGAGGAGGGAAUUCGGCUGAAGUAGUGAAUGGAAGUUGAUACAGUUGCAUAUUACUAUUUAUCCCAAAUAAGUGAAUGGAUUUCCCAAGGGUGAAAGUUAAGAUUCACUUGGGAUGGCUGCCAAAAUAUUAAGGUAACUAUUAGAUAUGAAGACAUUAAACUGGGACAUUGGUGUGACUGACUGAUAUAGAGAGAUUCUGUCACACCCCUGGCUGCUGUUGUCACCGGGUUGCAGAAUGAAGUGUGGUUAGUGAGUGUUAGCACAGACCAAUGAUCAACAAAGGGUUCUCAUAUUAACCCAGUUUCCUGUCUCCAGCAGUGGCUCUUUUUAAAGAAAAUCAAGUGCUUCAAUAAUGGAAUUGACAAAUGAUGGAUCUACCUACUGAUAGCAGUUUGGAUUCCCUGGGAAGUAAACUCUGAAGUGGUGAUCAGUGUGCAUGAAGCUUUUUAGGGAAGACACUUGGGACCAAUUCAUGAGGAAGGGAGGGCAGAAAGCGCAAUGAGGCAGAGGGAAAAGCUGGGCUCUGUCGAAGUCUCAACAAAGGCCUCAGCCUGCCCCAUGGACACCCAAGGAUGACUAUUCAGAGUUGCUCUGAUUUGGGGCAAGGUUGUGGGCCUUCAUCCUCUUCCUUCAACCAACUGGACAAGAGGCAUGUUUUUCAUUUUUUCUAGCAUUUUGUAAUAUGCACAUUAGAAGCUCAAAAAUACUUAUUAAAUAAGUGAAUCUCUAGCUACUUAGCCAAGAAUGUAGCCUGGGUGUGGCAAAUGUAAUGAAUCACUAUUUUAAUUUCAUAGUUUUAAAUUUUUAUUUAUACUCAUCUCUUCUGACAUCCCAGAUUUACUAAUCAUUCACUCAACAAAUAUGUAUUGAAUUCUGUUGUGUUCCAGACACUGUUCUGAGCAAAGGGUAUGAUAUGGCGGUGAUGUGGUUUGACUGUGUCUGCACCCAAAUCUCAUCUUGAAAUUGUAGCUCCCAUAAUUCCCAUGUGUUGUGGGAGGGAGCCUGUGAGAGAUAAUUGAAUCAUGGGGCAAUUUCUUCAUACUGUUCUCAAGUUAGUGAAUAAGUCUCAGGCUAGCUGACGAUUUUAUAAGAGGUUUCCCCUUUCACUUGCUUCUUAUUCUUGCUUGUCUGCCACCAUGUAAGAUGUGCCUUUGGCCUUCUGCCAUGAUUGUGAGCCCCCCACCACCCCACCAGUCACAUGGAACUGUGAGUCCAUUAAACCUCGUUUUCUUUAUAAAUUACCCAGUCUCAGGUAUGUCUUUUUUAGCAGCAUGAAAACUGACUAAUAAAGGUGGUGAACAAGACAAGGGACCUGCCAUGAUGGAGAUAAAUUCCAGUAAGAGGCAGAUAAUACAACUGAAACAGAGAUGAUCAAGAUGGUUACACAAUGUGAUAGGUGCUAUGGCAGCAAUAAACAUAGUGAAGAGAUGAAAUGCACCACCUGGGGUCUGGGAUGAGGUGAUAUCGCCUUCAGAAGAAAAUGAUUCUGCCAUGACCAGAGAGAGAAAACAAGCAUUUCGGGCAGAAGGAAAGGAAUUCAUGAGGGAGAAAGAACUCCGUAUCCUUUGAGAAAUGGAAGAGGUCAGAAGGGUUGGACAGUAGUUUGCUCAGGGGAACAUGGUAAUGGAUGAGGUUGGAGAAGGUGUCAGCCAGGGUAAAGGGGUUGAAUUUUAUCCUAAGAGCAAUAGUAAGUCAAUGAAGAGUGAAAGUUUAUUGUUAUUGUUGCUUGUUUGUUUAAAAUAGAAGCUAGAGACAGAUUUACCAUGAAACUAAUGAAGCCUAAGCUUCAGGACCUCCCACUUGCAUGAGUCCUUUAAAAAACUUGGGAGGAACUGUAGCUUUGUAUGUGUUUGAAGUCAUGGUUUUAUAAAAUUGGCAACUGUUUGGGACCACUCUCUUUUUCCAUACUGACAUCCCUUCCAUCACACUCCCUUUUGUGGAGUGGCACUGGAGUGGCCAUGGUCAUUUUUUAGAUCUGGUUCCAAGGAGGUUGAAUGGUAUACAGCUAACUUGGCUUGGUGAAAUACAGUUAUAUGGCUCAUAGCCAGUUUUGUGUAUGGCUAAUGUUGUUAACCAUCUCAUAAUAGGUGCUGGCUUACCCAGUAUUAUGACAUGAAGGUGUACAACCAUUGGUUUGCAUUACACUAUGAGUGUGUCUUUCAGCACCCAGCCCUGGGAGUAAGCAGGUGGUGGAAAGGAAAAGAUUUGAGGUAUAUGUGGUGGAUGCUAGUCCAUGGAACAUUCUAGUCAUCAGAUGCAUACAAUUCUAAGCAGAGGAUUUAUUCUUUAUUUAUACUUAUCUUUCAGGAUAGCAAAGUACAAUUAUAAUGCCUAUUUUUUUCCUUUCAGAUAAGAAUUGUGAAAAAUAGAACUUAGAGUUCCUGUGUUUUCAUGAUAAGCAGUGAGAAUUGUGUGUUUGCACAUGCAUGAAGUUGUAUGUUAAAUUAUCAGUACGAAAAUAUCUAUAUUACAAAGCAAAUUUCAGCCAACCACACUACAAAACUCCCUUCCCCAAUUUUAUAAGCUUCCAGCCUCACAAAGCCUGGAUCUAUCUCUGACGAGAAUGAUGCCGUGAGAUCGGAUUUCGAUUUUAUGAAGGUGCUGGCUGCCAUAUGGAGAGCAGAUCAAGAAGGAGCAAGAGUAAAACCAGAGACAUAUCUUGCAUCUAGUCACGAUGCUUUUGAAUGUAGUUACUAACAAGGAACAUCAAAAUAGUCCAGUGUUGUCACUGGUCUUUAUUCAUUGCUUUGCAGAGUCAACUGAGUACCUAAAGGGGGAUUGGUCCUGAGUACCACAGCAUCACUUCUCAGUCCUUAGUGUGCCUAUGUGUCCCUUGGGAGUAGGUCUGGGGUGCAGCCUGGGAUUCUGCAUUUCUAGCAAGACUUCAGGUAGUCCUGUUGGCUGGCUCGUGGACCAUAUUUGGAGUAAUAAGGUAGCAAAACACUAGGGAUCUAGAGUCAGACUGGCUGUGUUUGAAUCUUCACUUCACUACAAACUUUGUGACUUGUUAAGUUAUCUAAACUUUCUAGUCCUCAGUUUUCUCAUUUAUAAAUCGGGAUGCUCAUAAUAGACUGAACCAAUCAAAUUAUCGUGAAGAUUAAAUGAGACACUUCAUGUUAAGAGGUGAUCACAAUAUAAGGUACAAAAAAUGCUAGAUAUAUUUGUUCUUGCUGCAGUCAGAUAGCCCGCCUGGCCUUUUGAGCCAAGCUUGACUGCAACUGCUUUUGAAGGUUACUGAAGUUUCUCAUGUGUAUUGAAAGAAAGAAAGGGCCUGCCCCUGCAACACAGACUAAGUAAAACUAGUCUGGUUAAUGCAAACUUAUAAACAAUAAAAUAUAUUUGCAAAUCAAAAUUGCCAAGUACAAUAAAUGUUGAGUUAGUCAGGCAUGUGAUAGGUUUGAUAAAUCACAGAUUCUUGUAUCCAGAAUGGAAGUUAGAAGGUCUUGUAUUUCAGUUGCUUCAUUCUACAGACAAAACAGAAACAAACAAACAAAAACCCACAAGGCUCUCUCUGAGGGAUUGUGGCUUUGGUCAUGAUAUUCCCUGUGGGUCAUAUCUCCUAACUGAAAAGCAACAGAGACCACUAUCAAAGUAUUUUAUUAAUACUUUGCAAUCUAUAGAAAGCCAUCUUUAUUCAAACCCCCUUAUUAUUGCUAUGGGUUAAAUUAUGUCCUCGCAAAAACUUACAGUAAAGUCCUAACCCCAUACCUGUGAAUGUGGCUUUUUUUUUUGAAAAUAGCAUGUUUGCAGAUGUAAUCGAGUUAAGAUUACAUCUUAGGGUGGGCCCUAAUCUAAUAUGACCAGUGUCCUCCUAAGAUAAUGUAAGGCAGAGACCUGCAAGGGGAAGACCAUGUGAUGACAGAGACAGAGCCUGGAGUCAUACAGCUGCAAACCAAAAAUGCCAAGGACUGACAGCCACCAGCAGAAGCUAGAAGAGUCAAGGAAGGAGUCUACUGGAAUCUCCGGAGGAACAUGGCCCAGCUGACAUGUCGAUUUCCAACUUCCAGCCUCCAGAGCUGUAGGAGAAUACAUUUCUAUUGUUUUUCCUUUUGUUGUUCUUGUUGUUGCCCAGGCUGGAGUGCAGUGGUGGGAUCUUGGCUCACUGCAACCUCCACUUCCCAGGUUCAACUGAUUCUCCUGCCUCAGCGUCCCGAGUAGCUGGGAUUACAGGUGCACAUCACCAUGCCCAGAUAAUUUUUUAUUUUUAGUUUCGCCAGGCUGGUCUCAAACUCCUGACCUCAGGUGAUCCACCCACUUCAGUCUCCCAAAAGGCAGGGAUUACAGGUGUGAGCCACCACGCCCAGCUUCCUUUCUCUAUUUUUUUUUUGAGACGGAGUUUCACUCUUGUUACCCAGGCUGGAGUGCAAUGGCGCGAUCUCGGUUCACCGCAACCUCCGCCUCCUGGGUUCAGGCAAUUCUCCUGCCUCAGCCUCCUGAGUAGCUGGGAUUACAGGCACGCGCCACCGUGCCCAGCUAAUUUUUUGUAUUUUUAGUAGAGACGGGGGUUUCACCAUGUUGACCAGGAUGGUCUCGAUCUCUUGACCUCGUGAUCCACCCACCUCGGCCUCCCAAAGUGCUGGGAUUAGAGGCGUGAGCCACAGCGCCCGGCCCUUUCUCUAUUUUUAACAGGUUUAUCUUUCCUCUUCUGCCGCAUGAGAAGCUUCUUGAGGGCAGAGCAUUGGACUCUGGCCAUGUUCACAUCCCUUCAAUGGCUUAGCAGGGCUUAGACAGUACUCAGUGAACAGUUGUUGAGUUGAAGUAAUUAUAGAUUUCCACAAAAAUUAUCUGGCUCAUUAUUAGUUAUGAAUUUUCUAUAAUUUAUCCAUCAGUUUUUGGCAUUAAUUGUCAUUGAGGAAUUGACAAUUUGUCAAUAGAAGAAGUACCUGUUAGUUGCCAAGAGAUGUUUGGACAGAAAAAGGAAAUAAAUACUUAUGGGGAAAUACAAGAGCUCAUUUUAAUAUUAUUUUAAGAGUAAUCAUUGAUAUUCACUGAAAUCUUGCUAAGUGUCAGGUCCUGCUCUAUCUGGUUAGCAUAUAUUAUCUCAUUUAAUCCUCAUUAUGUCCCAGCAAGUACAUUCGAUUGUGAGACUUGGCUUAUUGGUGGAAAAAACCCUGAUCCUUAGAAGCUGCUAAAAAGUACAGUCGAGAGUUAAACUUGGGCAGCAUGACCAGAACUUAGUUCUUAACCAGCUCUUAAAAAACUACUGUGGAAUGCAGACACUGAUCUUUCCUUUCUGUAGCUCUGAAAAACAUUCAACUUUGUGUUCGUGAAUGCUAAUGCGUUUAGAUUGCUCUCUAUAUAAAUAUAUGCGUGUGAGAGUGUUGAAAAUAUAUUUAUUCUGUAGUAUGUUUGUUACUUCUGUAUAU